rnacentral:ribozyme from 1 species
UUUUUUUUUUUUUUUUUUUUUUUUGGCUUUUUUGGCCUAAAGAGGAUCACAGAUGAAGAAAAAAAAAGAAACGCACACACAACACCAAGUAUUUUAAGCAUUUCGUAGUCUUUGUGUGAAGGAAAAAAAAAACAA